UACAGAGGUGGCAAGCGUUGUUCGGAAUUACUGGGCGUAAAGGGCGCGUAGGCGGUCCCGUCAGUCCCUUGUGAAAUCCCCCCGGCUCAACUGGGGGAACUGCAAAGGGAUACAGCGGGGGCUUGAGUUCGGGAGAGGGAAGCGGAAUUCCGGGUGUAGCGGUGAAAUGCGUAGAUAUCCGGAGGAACACCGGUGGCGAAGGCGACCUUCUGGGACG
rnacentral:rRNA from 1 species